GUCAUUUUAAAAGUGAAUGUUGAGCUUUGCCUGCGUGCGCAGCUUUUCAAACGGGAGACAGAUGAAUGCUCGGACAGACAACACGGUUAGCAAUAUAUAUAAGAUUGCACCUUAUAUAAAAUGUU